AUUGAACGCUGGCGGCAGGCCUAACACAUGCAAGUCGAGCGGUAACAUUUCAAAAAGCUUGCUUUUGGAGAUGACGAGCGGCGGACGGGUGAGUAAUGCCUGGGAAAUUGCCCUGAUGUGGGGGAUAACCAUUGGAAACGAUGGCUAAUACCGCAUAGUAGCUUCGGCUUAAAGAGGGGGACCUUCGGGCCUCUCGUGUCAGGAUAUGCCCAGGUGGGAUUAGCUAGUUGGUGAGGUAAUGGCUCACCAAGGCGACGAUCCCUAGCUGGUCUGAGAGGAUGAUCAGCCACACUGGAACUGAGACACGGUCCAGACUCCUACGGGAGGCAGCAGUGGGGAAUAUUGCACAAUGGGCGCAAGCCUGAUGCAGCCAUGCUGCGUGUGUGAAGAAGGCCUUCGGGUUGUAAAGCACUUUCAGUCGUGAGGAAGGGUGUGUAUUUAAUAGAUGCGCACUUUGACGUUAGCGACAGAAGAAGCACCGGCUAACUCCGUGC
rnacentral:rRNA from 1 species